rnacentral:rRNA from 1 species
ACAUCCAGAGAAUUUAGCAGAGAUGCUUUAGUGCCUUCGGGAACUCUGAGACAGGUGCUGCAUGGCUGUCGUCAGCUCGCGUUGUGAAAUGUUGGGUUAAGUCCCGCAACGAGCGCAACCCUUUAUCCUUUGUUGCCAGCACGUAAUGGUGGGAACUCAAAGGAGACUGCCGGUGAUAAACCGGAGGAAGGUGGGGAUGACGUCAAGUCAUCAUGGCCCUUACGAGUAGGGCUACACACGUGCUACAAUGGCGCAUACAAAGAGAAGCGACCUCGCGAGAGCAAGCGGACCUCAUAAAGUGCGUCGUAGUCCGGAUUGGAGUCUGCAACUCGACUCCAUGAAGUCGGAAUCGCUAGUAAUCGUAAAUCAGAAUGUUACGGUGAAUACGUUCCCGGGCCUUGUACACACCGCCCGUCACACCAUGGGAGUGGGUUGCAAAAGAAGUAGAUAGCUUAACCUUCGGGAGGGCGUUUACCACUUUGUGAUUCAUGACUGGGGUGAAGUCGUAACAAGGUAAGCGUAGUGCU